rnacentral:miRNA from 1 species
CCUGCUGAUCUCACAUUAAUUCA